GCGCCGCAGCGCGGGGGGUACCUGCGCCAGCCCCGGCCCCGCCCCCGCUUCCCGCGCGGCCGGCGGCUUCCGGUGGCGCAGGCUCCUCUGCCCGGCAGCGCUGUUGCCAUGGCAACAGCGGGCACGGCGCGGCCUGCAUGGGGCUGGGCCAGGCCUCGCCUCUCUCCCUCUUCCCCCCCCUUCCUUUCACUCUCCCUCUGCCCCUCGUCUCCUCGGGUGGCGCCAGCCCCCGUUAGUGGUGUGCUUCAUCCCUGCGUUGCAGCAGCUGAUUGCCAUGUGGCUGUGCAGCUGGCUGUAGUCCUCCCCCAGGCACCCCGUGUUUUUGUGCAGUGCCUGCCCCCCGUGGGGCUGGGGGGAGGUGGGUUUGGGGGCACAAACUGCGUGAGGAUGGUGGGAGCCACAUCAGCACAAUGCAAAGCACCUUUGGACAAUCGUGAACCACAUCAGGACCGUGCAAAACACAUUAGGGCAAUGCAAACCACACCAGGACCGUACGAACCACAUAAAGACAAUGCAAACCACAUCAGGACGAUGUUUGAUGUAUCGAUAACACGUAAAAUCAGGCUUCAAGUGUAGGCUGGACCGCUUCUGUAAGCCACACAGUUAGCUAUUGCCUGAAAGCUCCUGAGCCAGGUAACAUCUCGUAGUCAUUACUGGCAGCAAAGGCGACAGCUUUCCUCAGGAUGAAACGGCGUUCCCCUUGGAAGCUCACAGCCCCUCAAAAGAUGAGUUUAUGUGGCGCAGAGAUGGCCUGAAUGCAUGAAGUGACUCCAAAUUUUAAAAUGUUUUGCUGAAUCUUUUCAGCGGGUUUAAUUCAAUCAGUACAGUAAGACUAUCCAUGAGUAGGAAUAACACCAUAUUGAUUUCAGCUUAAAAUGAUCCUUUGACAGGCAGAAUGAGGCAAAAGAGGCCUUGUGACUAGAGAAGGAGUCUAGUUUAAGAGGCUUCCAAAAUAGAACUAAAACUGGCAUGUGGGUGAGUUGUGAAUCAUACGUCUUUUUUAGCUCUUCCUCAAUGGCAAAUAACAUCACUUUUGCAAUCUUCACUUUGGACUUUCUAACACUUGGGCUAAAAUAUCUUUUUUACCACUUGUCCACACCCUGACAUUAUUGUUGAUUGCUCUGCCAGAUUCUACCCAAAUAUUUCUGUUGUAUUUGAAAGCAUGACCAUCAAAGAACUGUUCUGCAGGAACAUGCUCUAGGAGACAUGUUCCUUUUGUGGCUGACACAGGGACAGGUAACAAGAAACCCCUAGACAUUUCUUGUCCGUCUUGGGACAUGUCACUUCAGUUUCUCUGUUCCGCAGUAUUGCCGUUUGUAAAAUUGACCUUUGUCCCAGCACUGCUUUUUCAUUUGCUUCAGUAACAGCAGGAAGAUGAGAGUGCCAUAGAAGUGAUUUAGUCAGUUUGUUAAAUAGACCUUUUUUUUUUUUUUUUAUUAGUCCUUGUGUUUCAUCCAAGUGUUGUCAUUAUAAUUAAAUACCGCCUUCUGCUUUCUAGUUACAGCCUUCACACGUUCAGCACGAUUAUCAGAGGAUGGUAAUGGAUUAAACACAGGCUCUGCCCCCCACGUUUGUGGGCUCUUUCUUGCCAAUAGUCAAAAGCUCUGCGUAGGGGGAAUGGUAGAUUUGUAGUGAUUAAAGAAUCCUGGGCCUUCAGUGGCUGGAAGAGCAUUUAUGUAAAAGCUUGUAAAGACAUACCAGCUGUCGCAUAGGUAACUGGGGUUUAGUGUAAGUAUGUGACAACUGUGGGAAGCAAUUGGACAAAUCCGAGCCUUAGAAGUAAUCACCAGAGUAAUUGCCCUUAUCUGUGCUUCUGCCCUGAGGAAAUUAGUUGCAUUUUUGACAGGGAUGCAGCAGCAGCAAUAGAAGUCUGGCUUUCCUUAGUUCAGCUCUGCUUUCUUUGGCCAGUCACACAAAGGGGAGGAAGAGUUAAAAGCGUGUUGGGAUGGAGUUUUCAGGCAAGCUCAGUAUUGGGCUAACUGCUUAAUCAAAAGGAGGUCCAGAUCUGCCCUGGUUGUUGAAGGAAGACCACAAAGGAACAGAUAAUUCAAUGAACUUACCGGGAAGCUCAGAAAACCUGCUGUGAUUCUACUUUUUGCUGUAGUCCCAUAAAUCGAUCAGGUUCGGUCUGUUUCAAUUUGAGAACCAGAGACUCCAAGGAAAGAGAAAGAGCAACAGAAAGUUUUCUGAAUUAAUCAGGAGGGUGAAUUUUUCCUUCCCCAAUUCUGAAUCAAGAUUUUGGUCUACUGUAGUCUAGGAGAUGUAAGAAUUUGGUACGAGGUCAGAAGUGUACAGCAGAGGGGCUGUCUAUUGGUGGCUAUCCAAAAAAUUUAAGACUCAUUAGAAGAAUAAUAUUUUUGUGUGUUGGCAAAAUGCCGUUGUAAGCAUCUGCUCUCAGCCUACAGUAGUCCAUGGAUGGUGUAAUGAAAGUAAAAUAUCUUUUCUAUAUUAAAAUAUGUUGCUUUGCACGAUGUAAAACCUGUUGGAUUUCAUUCUGAUAUUGGACACCUGUGCAUGAAGAACUGUAUGAAUAGAUCAUUUCAUGCAAGCAAAACAUCUGCCAGACAUUUAUAUCAUUAUCAACCUGAGCUGGAAUCACGCUGGCAAUUUGUAGCUGAAAUGUUCCAUAUCCAGCAUCCAACCCACUGAGAAAUACGCUCUUCAUAAAAUGUUCUUCACAGGAGCUGGGAUGGUGCUGAUGCACAGUGGGGAAGGAGAGAUGUCCGACUGAUGGCAUAGUAGUAACCAGAAAAAUGUUAUUUGUUUCAGCUUUGUGAGAAAGUUUUGUGUUGCCCCAAGGAGACAUGGAACACCAAGCGCAAUUCUUCCAGCGGAGGCAGUAUCAUCAUAAUACAUGAUUAGCCAUUACAAUCUCUUGUCAUUUCGCUCUAGGAGAAUUAUGGCUCUCACACUGAGGAUGUACGACUACAGAUGGAGCACUGCCUGCUACAAAUCUCUUUACUGCUGCCGUAAAUCUCUUGGAGGAAAGUUACUGCAUAAAAUAAAGAAAACAAAAUCUAUGCUAAA